GACGUCGAUAUUCGACGUCAUAAACACGAUUAACUUUGGUGUUUAUGACGUCGAAAUUCGACAUCAUAAACACGAUCAAGUUUGCUGCUUAUGACGUCGAUAUUCGACGUCAUAAACACGAUCAAGUUUGGUGUUGAUGACGUCGAUAUUGGACGUCAUAAACACGAUCAACUUAGGUGUUUAUGUCGUCGAUCUUCGACGUC
rnacentral:miRNA from 1 species